UACGUAGGGGGGCUAGCGUUGUCCGGAAUCAUUGGGCGUAAAGCGCGCGUAGGCGGCCCGGUAAGUCCGUUGUGAAAGUCAAAGGCUCAACCUUUGAAAGCCGAUGGAUACUGCCGGGCUAGAGUCCGGAAGAGGCGAGUGGAAUUCCUGGUGUAGCGGUGGAAUGCGCAGAUAUCAGGAGGAACACCGAUAGCGAAGGCAGCUCGCUGGGACGGUACUGACGCUGAGGCGCGAAAGCGUGGGGAGCGAACAGG
rnacentral:rRNA from 1 species